rnacentral:misc_RNA from 1 species
ACGAAAGCCAACCCCGUUGUCAAAGCAGAGAAGCUUGAUAAGAUUAUAUAUGAUGGGUUAAAGUUUCAUGUACUGAAAUUUGAUGAUCAUUUCGUCUUUGAGGCUUCCGAGAUGGCCGACUAUCCUAUUAGGUGUCCUUUUUUAUUGUUGUGUAUGUGGAAAAGCAAAGCAGCGUAGGACAUCUCUGCAAUACAAAGAACUCUAUAUCUUGUGAUUGGCGAGA